UGUACUAACGCAGAAAUAUACACACACUCAGAUGCCAACACCCACGGCCCCUCCUCCAUUUCAGAAUCUCCCUCCCUGUCUCCACAUCCAUGAAGGACUCAUCUUGCAUGAAGGUACACCAGGACUCUGCCCGCAGGGACAGAUGGUCACACCCCACCACCAUCCUGCUUCACAAGUCGCAGAGCAGCCAGGCCACACUGAUGCCACAGGAGCACAGGAUGUUCAUGGCGGAAGCCUACAGUGCAGCCACCUGCUUCAAGAUGCUGCAGGACAUGAACAGUGCCGACCCCUUCCACAUGAAGUACAUCAUCAAGAAGAUCAAGAACAUGGCUCAUGGCUCCCCCAGGCUGGUGAUGGAAACCAUCCACGACUACUUCAUAGACAACCCAGAGAUCUCCAGCAGGCACAAGUUCCGGCUGUUCCAGACCCUGGAGAUGGUCAUCGGGGCCAGUGACAUCCUGGAGGAGACCUGGGAGAAAACUUUCA
rnacentral:lncRNA from 1 species